rnacentral:lncRNA from 1 species
UUUCAAUAGGAAGUUGAAAAUGGGUCUAUGAAAUACUUCUGGCAUAUCAUCAACCCUUUCAUUUUUCUUGAUAAGCAUCUUCUCACUUUGUAACACUGGAGGAAAUUAAGAAAGGCCAGUGUAAAACUCAGUCUUUGGCUUCUGAUGAGUCUACCAUGAUACUGACAACCUACCAGCUGAAGAGAAGUCUCUACAUGGACUGUGCAAAAGAGAUUCAGAGGCGUCUACUGAAUUUCAACCAUAAAUUGUCUAGUAUAAAGGAAGAUAAGUGUCCCUGCUGAAGAAGAAUGGAAACAUAAUGGAAUCAAUUCGGUGUGUCUGUGGAAAGAACUUAUUUCUCCAUUCCCCCAGGAUCCAGAUAAUUUAUCAUUGAGGUCUGGCAGCCAAGAUGGCCGAAUAGGAACAGCUCUGGUCUAC